rnacentral:rRNA from 1 species
GACAGAGGGUGCAAAUGUUGUUCGGAAUUACUGGGCGUAAAGCGCGUGUAGGCGGCCCUGCAAGUCGGAUGUGAAAUCCCACGGCUCAACCGUGGAAGUGCAUUCGAAACUGCAGGGCUAGAGUCCUGGAGAGGAAGGUGGAAUGCUUGGUGUAGAGGUGAAAUUCGUAGAUAUCAAGCGGAACACCGGUGGCGAAGGCGGCCGUCUGGACAGUGACUGACGCUGAGACGCGAAAGCGUGGGGAGCAAACAGG